UCCGGCUUAGCUCACUUCGUAGAGCGCAUGACUGUUAGUCAAUAUGACAUCAAUUCGACCCUGACAACCGGAG
rnacentral:tRNA from 1 species